ACCUCAUGGGUUUAUGCUGUGUGCACUUCUCUUCUCCUUAUAUACCAAUGACUGCAUCUUAAAUGAUCCAUCUAUUAAAAUACUGAAGUUUACAGAUGAUAUAACAGUGAUUGGCCUUAUUCAAGACAAUGAUGAAUCUGCAUACAGACAGGAGGUUGUACAACUUGCCUCAUGGUGUAACCGGAACAAUCUCGAACUGAACACACUCAAAACUGUAGAAAUGGUGGUAGACUUUA